CUAUCAGAAAUGUAUAUUGCAACUUUCCAUGCCAAGUAUAUGUGCUAAAUGACAAUCGUCCAAGGCUCAAAACUCCACUAAAACAUAAUUGCACUUCAAGACUAUUGCUCAACUAAUAAGAACCCUUCCAGACACAAGUAUGCAUAGAGGUGGAUUGCUUGCUUACCACACUCAUGCGACACAUAGACAGUGAUCAUCGUGUUUCAUCCCGCUCAAUCAAAUGCAUCUCAAUGAGCCCACACUUUCCAUACAUAUAAACUCAACUACUAGAAAGAAUUCAAGCACAGAUUUACUUGCCCUUGGAGAGAAUCUCCCAGCACAGUGCAAACACCCAUGGCCUUCAGAAGAGUGAUCUCAUUGCCCUCCAUGCCUCCAAGGGUGCGAACUCUUACUCCAAGUACGUUUCUCAGUGGUCGAGGCUUUUGAGAGGUCCGGAAGUUUCGAAUCAAAGAAAUGGCAAGGGCGAUGGAACAACGAGCGCUGGGGCGUGGGCGAUCCGAUCGCGCAGCUCGCCGCCAAGCCCGCUUGCAACUACAAGUAGUGUCUAUCUGGAGCUGGAGGAGAGCUUGGCGAAGCACUUGGCUGGAGAUCUCAGCGAAGAAACAGGCAUCAACUUCGCGGACA